UAACCCAUAAGUACAAAAGUGUUGGGCCCUUUUUGAAUUCCUUCAGCCUGAUUCCUUUUUAUUUUCUCGAGAAAACCCACUCCCCAUAUCCGACCCAAACCCCUUUUAUAACAAAAAAAAUCCAUUCCAGUAAGGAAUAACAAUAACAAAUGCAUGCCAACAUCGUCUGAUAUUCUUCUUCUUCCAAAACAGUGAUGAAACCUAGAAAAAAUUGAAGCCCAGUCCAGCAGAAACCCCAAAUCCCGAUCCAUCCAAAAUGUGUCGACCCCAAUCCUCCAACUUCCGUGAGUAGACGGGAGUUACACGAUGCUAUACUGAGAAUAAAUUUUAACACGUCUUAUUCUUUCUAGUACAGUUUCUUGGACGGACGUCUGCAAUUCUAGCGGCCAUGAAGCACGCGUUUUCGUCUAUUGUGGCUAAAGAUUCAGCCACAUUACUCACCCAGUACAAUGGGUCGAUCUCGUCCUUCUAGCUUGCUUGAAAUAUAUUCGAAAUCAUUUGGAAUCGGAAGAAUAUUAGAUUUUCGGAUAAGAUUUUGGAUUUUGAAUGGGUCUGGGGAAAGUCCAUAUUUUAUCCAUCUUUUUCCCAAAACCAAAGACCUAAUUUGUCGAUAUAUAAGGCCUCUUCCUGUUCUUGAAAGGGAAUUUUUUUUGGAGAUGGAGAUUUGUAAAAACAUUGAGUGAGAGUUUCGAUACUAAUCUUCUUCUUUCUUUUCUGGGAUUUUUACUGGAACAAAGGUUUGUCUUUGGUUAAAAAGAAACAGUGGAAAAACACAUACCGAAUAUAAAGAACAAAAGAAGAAGCAAGUUAGGAAAUUUUUUCAGUAAGGCUCAAUGAAUCAAAACAAAAAUAGUAGCUAUAUAUAAACAUUUAGCAAGUAGGCUUUUUGAAGACAUAUAAAUUGGGAACGAAACAUCAAAUCCUGUUUUGAUUCUUCUCCGUUCAUAAAUGCUCUCGGAGUUGCACUUCGGUAGUGGUGAAGUCGUGGUCUACUCUACUUGUCUCAUCCCUGUUUCGCUGCCACAAAGAAGCAUGUAAAAUUUGCUUUAGUUCUCCACGAACUCUCCCUUUUCACAUUUCGAGAGACCCAUCAAGGCUCAAAAUUCAUUAUCGAGUUAACAAGCCAUGAAAUCGACGAACAAGCCCUAAAUUGAAGAAUAUGGAGUCAAUUAAAGAGUUGAAGAAAAUUGGGUCAUUCGUACCCAAAUUUUAUUUUUCCCUUAAAAUUUGUAUUUUGUUGUUGUUGGGCCUAAGCGCAUUUAUUUAUUUACUUAAUGUAUUCUUAGAAUUUAGGACAGGUACAAGUGAAGUGGGUCAAAGACCCAAAAUAAAUGGGUGAAAAAAUUCGAAAACAGGUGGGUCCAAAAUCUGAUCCAGGCGGACAGAACCCGGGUUCGGACCUAAAAUCUCUCUCUUUCUCUCUCUCUCGUCUUAUUACUGAUCUAUUUUUUUGGUCGUUAGUUUAAAGUUAUAAAACUCCAAAUACCCGUAGAAUGUCAUAACGUUUUAGUAAAUUAAAAUUAAACUAAGUUUGAAAAGAUAUUUUUCAAUUUAUAAGUGUCGCUUAGAUAAACAACGAAGAAACACACUUUCAAACAAUUUCCAAUAAAUUUUAUAAGUUAGUUAUUUUAGCCAAA